GCCGAUCAUCGGUUCACGAGUUGGAUGGGGUGCCGGACUCGGCAUGCGACGUCGCGUGCCCCCGGCGCCCAAGCCAAAACUCCUCAGCUGGCCCGCCGGCUGGGCUUUGUGUGCAGUCCAGCACCCGGGCCAACUCAUCAUUCACCCAUGCACGGCCGAGUCAGUCAGUGAGGUUGGCAACCCUACUCUGGAUGCAGGAUACACCUAGUAAAUAUCUGUGAAGGCAGUGCCACAUUACACAGAAUAACAGCAGCAAGACGUUCAACUUUACAAGCAAGACUUUGAAAAGUUAGUUGUAGAUUGGUUUAUGCAUGACAACCAAUCAUAUAUAGGUUAGCAUCACUUACUGUAUCAUUUAUAUUAACACCCACUUCCUAUGCUACGCAGUUCGGGUAGCAGCCCGGAUGCAGUGACAACUAACAUGCUACUGUGCUGUUCAGUCUGUUUGUGGAUUAAAGAUGAUCUUAUAUUACAUGCCGUGUAUGUGUCAUAUUUACAUUAGUGAAUAUAGAGCACUGAAUAUUUUUCUGAAUACCUUGUUGAAUUUAGGCAAGGGUGAUAUUUUUAUUUGAGGAGUUUCACUUCUCUCUUUUUGAAUACUGAAUACGAAUACUUUACUUUAUGUCACAUGUGACAAGUCACAGUGAAAUUCUUUGCAAAUAGUCGUCACAUAAAGAGCCUUUAUUGAUCCUUUCUCUCGUUUCCCCUUCCUCUAUCUCCCUCUUCCUCAUCUUUUCUUUCUCAUCGCUCUUUCUAUCUCUCACUCCAUUUUUUGCUUCCAUCUCUUGCUUCUUUCACUCAUCCUAUAGUUUCUCUUGUCAUGAUCUCUCUGACCCUUUCCUUCCUUCCUCUCUCUCUCUCUCUCUCUCUCUCUCUCUCUCUCUCUCUCACUCUCUCUUUCUCUUUUUUCGAAUAUCCCAAAUUCGAUCAAUCUCUGUAUCAAAUGCAAUCAGUCACAGAGACUCAAUGUAUUAAAUCCCCACCCAGUGUUGAAACUUCAACUCUUCAAUCCUAUGUGACCUACAGUACCCCUUAUUUUGAAUCUGGUUCUAAACUCUUCAAAUGUUUUUACUUGCUCCAUCCAUUGAACAUUAGUGCUGUAUUAGUGUUUAACUAUGUAAGUAAAACACUCACAUAUCAAAGAUUAAUUGCAAUUAUUUCCUUCCACUCAGCAGACCUAUGUAUAAUACGUAAAAAAUAAAUGUACAGUUAUUAAUUGAUUAUAGUUUUUAGUGCAUAUUUCUGUAUCAAGCUGUAUUUUUUUGAACCAUGAGCUUGCAUUGAUGUUAUCAUUUGAAGAUUUGUUUUGUAAAUCACUGCUGAAUUUCCUUAGGGUUACAGCAAUUCUUCAUGAUUUGAAAAUGCAAAUAAAAGAUCAG